GCCCUGGUGGCAUAGUGGUUAAGCAUUUGGCUGCUAACCAAAAGGCUGGCCGUUUGAACCCACCAGUGGCU
rfam:Loxodonta africana unplaced genomic scaffold scaffold_7, whole genome shotgun sequence.